UGUCCAACGUUAAUCGGGGCAGGGUGAGUCGACCCCUAAGGCGAGGCCGAAAGGCGUAGUCGAUGGGAAACGGGUUAAUAUUCCCGUACUUGGUGUUACUGCGAAGGGGGGACGGAGAAGGCUAUGUUGGCCGGGCGACGGUUGUCCCGGUUUAAGCGUGUAGGUGUGUGUUCCAGGUAAAUCCGGUUCACUUUAACACUGAGGCGUGACGACGAGGCACUACGGUGCUGAAGCAACAAAUGCCCUGCUUCCAGGAAAAGCCUCUAAGCAUCAGGUAACAUCAAAUCGUACCCCAAACCGACACAGGUGGUCAGGUAGAGAAUACCAAGGCGCUUGAGAGAACUCGGGUGAAGGAACUAGGCAAAAUGGUGCCGUAACUUCGGGAGAAGGCACGCUGACACGUAGGUGAAGUGAUUUACUCAUGGAGCUGAAGUCAGUCGAAGAUACCAGCUGGCUGCAACUGUUUAUUAAAAACACAGCACUGUGCAAACACGAAAGUGGACGUAUACGGUGUGACGCCUGCCCGGUGCCGGAAGGUUAAUUGAUGGGGUCAGCGCAAGCGAAGCUCCUGAUCGAAGCCCCGGUAAACGGCGGCCGUAACUAUAACGGUCCUAAGGUAGCGAAAUUCCUUGUCGGGUAAGUUCCGACCUGCACGAAUGGCGUAAUGAUGGCCAGGCUGUCUCCACCCGAGACUCAGUGAAAUUGAACUCGCUGUGAAGAUGCAGUGUACCCGCGGCAAGACGGAAAGACCCCGUGAACCUUUACUAUAGCUUGACACUGAACAUUGAGCCUUGAUGUGUAGGAUAGGUGGGAGGCUUUGAAGUGUGGACGCCAGUCUGCAUGGAGCCGACCUUGAAAUACCACCCUUUAAUGUUUGAUGUUCUAACGUGGACCCGUUACCCGGGUUGCGGACAGUGUCUGGUGGGUAGUUUGACUGGGGCGGUCUCCUCCUAAAGAGUAACGGAGGAGCACGAAGGUUGGCUAAUCCUGGUCGGACAUCAGGAGGUUAGUGCAAUGGCAUAAGCCAGCUUGACUGCGAGCGUGACGGCGCGAGCAGGUGCGAAAGCAGGUCAUAGUGAUCCGGUGGUUCUGAAUGGAAGGGCCAUCGCUCAACGGAUAAAAGGUACUCCGGGGAUAACAGGCUGAUACCGCCCAAGAGUUCAUAUCGACGGCGGUGUUUGGCACCUCGAUGUCGGCUCAUCACAUCCUGGGGCUGAAGUAGGUCCCAAGGGUAUGGCUGUUCGCCAUUUAAAGUGGUACGCGAGCUGGGUUUAGAACGUCGUGAGACAGUUCGGUCCCUAUCUGCCGUGGGCGCUGGAGAACUGAGGGGGGCUGCUCCUAGUACGAGAGGACCGGAGUGGACGCAUCACUGGUGUUCGGGUUGUCAUGCCAAUGGCACUGCCCGGUAGCUAAAUGCGGAAGAGAUAAGUGCUGAAAGCAUCUAAGCACGAAACUUGCCCCGAGAUGAGUUCUCCCUGAGACUUAAAGUCUCCUGAAGGAACGUUGAAGACGACGACGUUGAUAGGCCGGGUGUGUAAGCGCAGCGAUGCGUUGAGCUAACCGGUACUAAUGAACCGUGAGGCUUAACCUUACAACGCCGAAG
rnacentral:rRNA from 1 species